rnacentral:lncRNA from 1 species
AUGUCCAAAGCAGUUGCAGAUCACCAUCUCCCUCUCCAUGUGACAUCACUAGAAAACACUAGACUGGUGAUGUCACACAUACCACAAAACCCCGCUGCAGAAUGGAGCAGGCCUAUUAAGGGUAAGUCUGCUUUGGGGUUCCAUGAUGAGUAUGCCAUAAUCAGAAUACUCUAUGCUGGAGUACCACAGGAGAGUGGAGUCAGCAUUUCCUGGCUGCUCUGGAUGUCAGAAACCUAAUUUUAAAAGGUAAGCUUUCAGUUCAGAGUGUGUUGAAUCUCUCUUACUUCAGUUUUAUGAAAACAUUCAACUCAAGUCUAAAAUGUAUUUGCAUUUUUGUUAAAUUUAGCUGUAAGCCAUGAUUAUAGCUGUAAGCCACAUUUUUAUACUUACCUUUCUCCAGGCUUUUGAACUCCUUUGUUCUAUUGUUAAAGAUAUAAGUUGUGCUACCAGAACAAAAAAGUGUUUUAUUUGUCAUUGUCUGUAACAGGAUGGUAUCUAGAAGUCAUCACACUGAGUACUAUAAGGACAAUUUUUAUCCAAGAUAAAAAGUGAAGGGCACCCCACCUCCAACUUCUGGCAGAAGCCCCACCCCUACUGGCAGUCACAUGUCCCACUUGCCCUGGAAGUCCCUCCCCUCUUACAGUCACAUACUCUGUUUAUUCCACUUCUCUUUGUUCCUGGGGAUCACCAUUUUGUAAAACAUCAUACCCCAUGUGUUCACAGAAUGCCCUGUGAUUGGCUGGCAGGACCAGCUGCCCCUGCUGGUACAUCAGAACAGGAAGUCCCUUUCCACUACAUACAUGGAGGUUGCCAUUUUAUUUCAGGCAGCAUUUUAUAGCAGGGAGCUGCCAUUUUAUAAAAUGUUAUAACCCAUGUGUUUUCAUACUGCUCUGUGAUUGGCUGACUGCCAUUUCUUGACACCAUCAUACCCCACAUGUUUGCAUGUGAUCUCCUCUCAUGGUUAGUUGCUAGUGGUUUUUUUGGGGACAAGCAAAAAAUGGAGGGUAACAAUGGGAGGUAGCCAGAGAACUUCCUUUUCUAAUUACAAUGCACACUCAGUGUCAGGAGCUGAAAGGCCGGCGACAGAGGAAAGCCGGCCUAUUGUAACUCAAGAGAACUCCCCAGCAGGAGCUUUGUGGGAAGUGUCAGUUCCCUUGAAAAGGUAAUGUAAAAAGGGAAAGAAUCUGCUCCUCUGUUUUCUGAAAUAUAUAUGUCACUGAGAUUGAAAGAUUGCAUG